rnacentral:lncRNA from 1 species
AGCGAAGAGCGUGUGGUAGCUGACUCGUCCCCUGAGUUCCCUAUCGAUUCAAUCCAGGUUCAGUUAUCCAACGUGGAUUCCAAAUUUGCAGCUGCUGUUUCAGAAAAUGGAGAGAUAAGCAUUGAAGGGAAAGUGAAAUUUGGGAUACCUCACCUGACACGCGUGGGAUCAUUUGGUGUUGAUGCGAGCCUGGAAGGGAACCUCAUCCUGUGCCGGCAGGUUGAUCAGCCUGGCAUGAUUGGCAAGGUUGGGAACAUACUUGGUGAGCAUAAUGUCAAUGUGAACUUCAUGAGUGUAGGAAGAACUUUCAGGAGGAAUCAUGGGAUCAUGGCAAUCGGCGUUGAUGAAGAACCAAAUCAGGAUUCCCUCAAGGAAAUAGGAAAGGUGCCUGCAAUUGAAGAGUU